CCGUGCAGCCGGGGCAGUAGCGGCGCCCUGUACCCACAAUCCGCUCCAGUGGGGGUGAUGACCGGUCGAGGGCUUUUAUCUGUAUAGCUGCCCUUUGCAAGCGGCGUAGACGUUUCGGGUCUUGCGCAACGGAAAUCUGUGAAUCGUGUCAGGUUGGGAACAAAGCAGCACUAAGCAGAAUCUUUCGUGUGCCGUGAGGGUGCCUGGGCUGAGCUGGCUACAGAGGUAACGUGUAUGGAUCUGGUUCGACACCGGUCGCACGG
rnacentral:SRP_RNA from 1 species